AUUGAACGCUGGCGGCAGGCCUAACACAUGCAAGUCGAGCGGGGUUUUCGGACCUAGCGGCGGACGGGUGAGUAAUGCGUAGGAAGCUACCCGAUAGAGGGGGAUACCAGUUGGAAACGACUGUUAAUACCGCAUAAUGUCUACGGACCAAAGUGUGGGACCUUCGGGCCACAUGCUAUCGGAUGCGCCUACGUGGGAUUAGCUAGUUAGUGGGGUAAUGGCUCACCAAGGCGACGAUCCCUAGCUGGUUUGAGAGGAUGAUCAGCCACACUGGAACUGAGACACGGUCCAGACUCCUACGGGAGGCAGCAGUGGGGAAUAUUGGACAAUGGGCGCAAGCCUGAUCCAGCCAUGCCGCGUGUGUGAAGAAGGCCUUCGGGUUGUAAAGCACUUUCAGUAGGGAGGAAGCGUUGUGUGUUAAUAGUACACAGCGUUGACGUUACCUACAGAAGAAGCACCGGCUAACUCUGUGCCAGCCGCCGCCGUAAGAC
rnacentral:rRNA from 1 species